CCAAUAGCGUAUAUUAAAGUUGUUGCAGUUAAAAAGCUCGUAGUUGAACUUCGGGGUUUACCCAUUGGUCAGGCUUAAUUGUCUGCACUGGUGAGAUGGAUCUCUACCUUCUGAGGAACUUUCAUGCCAUUUAUUUGGUGUGGUUGGAAAUCAGGACUGUUACUUUGAAAAAAUUAGAGUGUUUAAAGCAGACUAUCGUCUGAAUACAUUAGCAUGGAAUAAUGAAAUAGGACGGACUGAUUCUAUUUCGUUGGUUUCUAGGAUCACCGUAAUGAUUAAUAGGGAUAGUUGGGGGCAUUAGUAUUCAAUUGUCAGAGGUGAAAUUCUUGGAUUUAUUGAAGACUAACUACUGCGAAAGCAUUUGCCAAGGAUGUUUUCAUUAAUCAAGAACGAAAGUUAGGGGAUCGAAGACGAUCAGAUACCGUCGUAGUCUUAACCAUAAACUAUGCCGACUAGGGAUCGGACGAAGUUAAUUUUAUAAUGACGCGUUCGGCACCUUACG
rnacentral:rRNA from 1 species